UUUGUAUUACGUGCGCAAAUUGUUACCAUUUUCGGCUCAAAAAUGGUAACAAUUUCCGCACGUAAUACAAA
rnacentral:miRNA from 1 species